UGCGCAGCGGGCAGGAAGGAUAAUUGCCACGUGCGUUCCGAUUCUGCCUUUGCAGCUACUGCGAGCGGAAGUCGUAUCUCGGGCGACCGACCAGCCCCUGUCGCGCUUCGUCCCAGCUCCAAAGCCAGCGCACCGUGAGCCGCCGCGUUCUCCUUCCCCGCGCGUGGCUUGGCAGACGCCAGAAAGCCCUCCGUGUGGCUCACUUAUCUCUGAGGUGGAGCUGCAGUUCCCGGAGCCAGUGGGCAUCAUCCACCAGUCCAGUGAAGGAUGCGUGGGAGCCGCGUCGCAGCUGCGGGACCUGCUACUGCCACGACCCCAAGGACGUGCUCUUCCUGGUCAUGAACCCUGUGCCAUUGCCCAGACUGGGGUGCCCUUUGGAGAGGUGAGUGUUGGGUAUUGGGGGGCCUGUGUUGGCCCAGCCCCAGGAGAGCCCUAAGUGGCCACUGCUGGGCCUGGAGUGCCCCCUUCGAGGUGAGCGGAGCCCAACUGGGGCAUUCUCUGGAGCCUCUGUGGUCAGCCCGAG
rnacentral:lncRNA from 1 species